UACGUAGGGUGCAAGCGUUGUCCGGAAUUACUGGGCGUAAAGAGCUCGUAGGUGGUUUGUCGCGUUGUUCGUGAAAACUCACAGCUCAACUGUGGGCGUGCGGGCGAUACGGGCAGACUUGAGUACUGCAGGGGAGACUGGAAUUCCUGGUGUAGCGGUGGAAUGCGCAGAUAUCAGGAGGAACACCAAUGGCGAAGGCAGCUCGCUGGGAACG
rnacentral:rRNA from 1 species